AUGCACUUAGGACUUUGAAUAAGGAUAUUAGGGACAUUGUUUUCUGGUUAUUGGGAUGGGUGUUCAUGCAUCUCCCAAACCUGUAUUUUGAGAGAUGUGGUAGAAAGGGCGUUCUGUCAAGGUGGUAGGAAGUGGAGAUGGACUAUGGUUCUAUUCAUGUGAGUUGUGUGUUCCUCUGGUGGCUUAUCAGUGUCAGUUUUCAAUUUACCUAAUCAGUAACAUUCCUAUAAAAUUUUUCUAUAUUCUUUUGUAUAAUUUCCUCCCAUCUAACUCUAUGGCUGUUGCCUCAUUUCUUAGUACUUUUGCCAAGCUCCAUCCUUCCAAGAACUCGUACACAAAAAAUGAGUGCCUUGGGUGCAAACAAUACCCAUAGAACCUCACAAUGUAUCUGUGUCUCACUUCAACCGAAGCCGUUAUCCAACUUUUGAAAGCUUUGAGAAUUGAGAUUGAUCCCACCGUCUGAGACUGUAAACAAAAACUCCAAUUGCGAUGAAGGGUAGACCUACACUGCUGAAAAGAGAAACCAUGAUUAAGAGAAAAACCCUCUUGUUGUGUUUCCUUCUAGGUGCUUUGGAGCAGGCCUUUAAAGCAAUGUUAUUAUUUCCUAACAUAUCUGUUGAUACUUUUAAAAUGCAACUGAUUUAAGGGAUGUGUCAACGGAUGUCAAGCUUACCAUCUCACAGAAGGUCAAAGGGAUGGAGCAAGAGAUCUCAUUGUGGGAAGGAUUAAACACUUCUAACCUCUGUAGAAGCCCUGACUCGUGUGCAAAGCUCCUGUAAGGUUAUUCUGGCUUAUGUCAAGGCUCUGGAGAUAGAGUAGAUGGCCAAUCUGGAAGGGAACUGUCAGUGAGUGUGUUCAUACAUCAUACUCAAAUUCAAGUACUGUGGCUUUGAACAUCGUCCUAGUUGUUCGGGAAUAGAUUCUGGACUGUUUGCUGCUAAGUUUAGUGGAUCUAGAUUAGAUAGUUCCUGAGUUCUUCAGGAAUAUUGCUCGACUUAUUGUGAUCCUUGUAAAGAAUAUACAAUAGUGACAUCAUCCCCGGUUCCUUUGGGAUCUCUCGUAAUAGUGCAUUAGAGGAGAGGUCGAGUAGCUCCAAUGGAAUUGCUUGACCAAGCUCAGGUGGUAUCCUAACUGUUCUUGCAGAUCUUCAGCAAGGUCUUCAUAUUUUAACAUUGUCCCCAGUUUGGAUAUAACUCACCGUGCAAUUUACUGUAACUCAGAUCAAUAUAAUGUGAGUUUAGA